rnacentral:rRNA from 1 species
CUUGGAGGAAUGUAUAGCAAUAGCUAACUGCACUAAAAAUUUUAGUGUAAAAUCGACUAUGUUGAAUAAAAUUCUGGGUAGUACUAUGAUAAUGACAUUACAUAUUCAUAAGUCUUGACCAAAUUACGUGCCAGCAGUCGCGGUAAUACGUAGAAGACAAGUGUUAUUCAUCUUUAAUAGGUUUAAAGCGUACUUAGACGGUAAAUCAAGCCUCCAAAGGGACUAAUUUGCUAGAGUUUUAUGUGAGAAAGUAUUAAAGUACUGUUGGUGUAGAGAUGAAAUUCUGUCAUACCUUAGAUGGCACAGGUUAUGGCGAAAGCAUCUUUUUAUGUAAAAACUGACGUUGAAGGACGAAGGCUUUGUGUCUCGAACAGGAUUAGAUACCCUAGUAGUCUAAGCAGACAAUGAUGAAUGUCAUAGAUUAGAUGUAAUUUGAUCUAUAAAUGAAAGUGUAAGCAUUCCACCUCAAGAGUAAUUUGGCAACAUUGGAACUGAAAUCAUUAGACCGUUUCUGAAACCAGUAGUGAUGUAUGUUGUUUAAUUUGAUAAUCCGCAAAAAACCUUACCACCAUGUGAAUAGAUAUAUUUUAUCAUACAAGCGUUGCACGGCUGUCUUUAGUUAAUGUCGUGAGACUUUGGUUAGUUCCAUAAAAUUAACGUAAACCCUUACUUUAUUUUAAAAUAAAGUAGCUCACCGCUAUAUUGGAUGUGAUAACAGGGAUCAAGACAAGUCAUCAUGACC